rnacentral:misc_RNA from 1 species
UUUCCGUAGGUGAACCUGCGGAAGGAUCAUUAUUGGAUUUUGAAACUUCAGGCUGCUGCUGGCUCUCCUCGGAGGGCAUGUGCACGCUUGUUGUCCAUUAUUUCUCCCACUGUGCACAAAUUGUAGACCUUUCAGUAGGCCUAUGUUGUUUUUCACAAUCUCUGAAUGUAAUAGAAUGGUUUUGAAUCUUGGGAAAUACAAUACAACUUUCAACAACGGAUCUCUUGGUUCUG